GUGGGGAAUUUUGGACAAUGGGCGCAAGCCUGAUCCAGCAAUGCCGCGUGCAGGAAGAAGGCCUUCGGGUUGUAAACUGCUUUUGUACGGAACGAAACGGUCCGGGUUAAUACCCUGGGCUAAUGACGGUACCGUAAGAAUAAGCACCGGCUAACUACGUGCCAGCAGCCGCGGUAAUACGUAGGGUGCAAGCGUUAAUCGGAAUUACUGGGCGUAAAGCGUGCUCAGGCGGUUUUGUAAGACAGGCGUGAAAUCCCCGGGCUCAACCUGGGAAUUGCGCUUGUGACUGCAAGGCUGGAGUGCGGCAGAGGGGGAUGGAAUUCCGCGUGUAGCAGUGAAAUGCGUAGAUAUGCGGAGGAACACCGAUGGCGAAGGCAAUCCCCUGGGCCUGCACUGACGCUCAUGCACGAAAGCGUGGGGAGCAAACAGGAUUAGAAACCCGUGUAGUCC
rnacentral:rRNA from 1 species